rnacentral:rRNA from 1 species
UGGGGAAUAUUGGACAAUGGGCGAAAGCCUGAUCCAGCAAUGCCGCGUGAGUGAUGAAGUCCUUAGGGUUGUAAAGCUCUUUUACCCGGGAUGAUAAUGACAGUACCGGGAGAAUAAGCCCCGGCUAACUCCGUGCCAGCAGCCGCGGUAAUACGGAGGGGGCUAGCGUUGGUCGGAAUUACUGGGCGUAAAGCGCACGUAGGCGGCCUUUCAAGUCAGAUGUGAAAGCCCCGGGCUUAACUCGGGAAAUGCAUUUGAUACUGUUGGGCUAGAGACCGGGAGAGGAUAGCGGAAUUCCCAGUGUAGAGGUGAAAUUCGUAGAUAUUGGGAAGAACACCAGUGGCGAAGGCGGCUAUCUGGACCGGUACUGACGCUGAGGUGCGAAAGCGUGGGGAGCAAAC